ensembl:lncRNA
GUGGCACUUCUAUCACUGUACUGUGGAAAUGACUAACAUGUAAGCUGCGAGCUGUCACUAUACAAGAACGUCUAUAACUCUGACCGAGGUCUUUCUGUUGGGACUCUAGCCUGGGAAGGACGCAUCAGUGGUUAUUAUGAAACGUUAAACUAAGAGUAAUUACAGUGAAGUAACAAGUAUCGAUCAGAAAGCAGUGAACUUUUGAGGAGCGUGUAAAAGCAGAAGACACAGCUCGUGUAAAUCAACAGAGCAGAAUUGUUCUUGAUUAAGAUGACUCACCUGAAGCGUUUUCAAGGAAUUCCCAUGUCGAAGUCAAUGCGGAGUUUGUGUAAAGAGGAAGACUAUGCAUUUCUGGGAAAGUCAGAAAGCACGACAAAAGAAACAACAGAGGGAGCGGCAGCUUUGGAGGACGACUGGAGAGACAGAAAGGAGGAGAGGGUCCGUCGGCGACUGGAGAGAGAGCAGCAGGAAAAAGACAGACUCAGAGAGAUAGAGGAGAGGAAGAAGGAGAAAGAGCAGCAGUGGCGGACUCAUGUGGCAGAAGUGAGCUCCAGCCAGGAGAAGACUCUGCAGGACAGACUGGCAAGACUCCGGAGAUUCAGGGAGUUCCAGAAAAAAGUGUUAGGAGAGGAUUCUGGGAUGGAGGGCGAGGCAGCCGGACUUACAGUCAAUAAACUCCUCACCAGGAUGUAGAGGCACUACAUGACACUUGGAAAGAGGAGUGGCCAGAAAUAUGUUAGCAGCAACACUAAUACUGAGCUAACUGAUGAAAGUGGUUGCAAUCUUUCGAAGCUGGCAGUAGCUUAAUGUUUUGCUUCUUUUUGGGAUUGUUGCAUGUCUUGUUUUUCUCACUUGAGUGUUUUAAAAUCACAUUAUAUAGCAGAGACUAUAAUGAGCGACUGACUCACCGUUAUGUAACAUUGUAGUGUUUCCGUGUUUACCUAAAACAAGGAUUUGCCACUGUAGGCUGCUGCUUGCUUUUAAAAAUAAAACACUUCUGCAAAAGGAAUCAAAAAAGCUGAUGUGGCAUUCUUUCUAAUGCAAACUGUGCAAAGAAUAAACCAGAGCUAUAACAGCCAAAGUAUCUCUGGCAUUGUUAAAGUUCAGGCUGCCACACUUUUACUGCAACACUUUUGCUCCAGGACAUCUAAGUAAAUAACUUUAUCUUGGUUUCAAAAAGUCAUUUUCAGUGAAUCUGAUUUUCGAGGGAUUUUUGAAGGAUUGCUAUUAUCUAGCAGUACAAGCAGCUACAGUAGACUCCAACUCCAACAAACUGUCAGGGUCCCUGCCUGGCCUCCCCUCUCUGUGCUCUUCCUCUCUUUCUCUCCUUCUUUUCCUCUCUCCCUCCCUCCUUCUCUCCUCUCUCAUGCUGUCUCUGCUCCUCUGCCUGUCGGUGCCUCCUCCUCUUGUUCCACUCCUGGCUGCUGGUACUCAGUUCUCAUCUGGAACAGCUGCUGGACCAGCACACCUGCAAAACAUCACCACCAACUACUACACAGCAAUGAAGCCUGGUUUUGGACUCCACUCGGCACCAGAUCGUAGCAUCAGCUGUCAGUCGGUCAGGUAGUAUGACACGUUUUGCAGUUCUGUUUGAGGUCUGCACUCCUCAGUUCUGUCAACUGCACUAUCCAGUUAUGCCCAACUCCGUGAGCCGUCGCUGCAGCCCUCCUCCCCUGCAGUCCGAUGAGGACUUGGACCCCCAUGUUCCGCCCGGCCCACAUCUGGGCCAGUUGACAUACCACCUCCACCCCCGAACAGGAUCUGGACCACGUUUAUUCCACCUGACCCGGCCGCCUCGCUGGUUGACCUGGACCCUCCUCCUGAAGAUGACCCGGCUAACUCCCUGGCUUUCUCUCCGGUCUCCACCGCAGCUCUCCGUCGCAUGUCCUGCAGCGCCGGCAUGUGUCUUCUGGACGGCCGGUCCCCUGAGCCUGCCUGUCCCCCUCAAUUCCCAUUAGUUUCUUCUUGUGAGUUUUGUUGAGUUUGAAUUUCAGUCCGUGUUGUGAGUUUGUUUAGUUGUUAUCUUAUCUGUUGUUAGUUUAGAGUUCUGUUUAGCUCUUAGUUAAAUCCCUUUAGUUUUACCUGGAGUUUGGUUGUUUAGUUUUCCCCUUAGCCUGUCAGUUCUG